GCACCGAGAGAAAUCUGCUGAGUGUAAUCAAUCUCGAUCAUCUUGUUGACCUAAAAAACGAUAGGAUUAAUUUCUUUGAAGCAGAGUGGAAGUCUUGGCUCUACUCUUAAGUUACAGAGAAGCAUAUAGAUUUAUUUCUGUAUAGUGGAUUUCUGUGUUUUUCUGUAUGUUGUGGAACUCGAACAGUUCUGUUGCCAGGUAAAAUUUUUGGUGGGUGUUUUUACAGCUGUCUCUGGAAUAAGUACAUUCUACAUAGGGAAACAUAGUCUGUCUUGAGUAUUAAAAAAGCUCUUAAGCUAUCAUAACCUUU
rnacentral:lncRNA from 1 species